UACAGAGGUCUCAAGCGUUGUUCGGAUUCAUUGGGCGUAAAGGGCGCGUAGGCUGCGGGGCAAGUCGGGUGUGAAAUCUCAGGGCUCAACCCUGAAACUGCACUCGAUACUGCUCUGCUUGAGGACUGGAGAGGAGACUGGAAUUCCACGUGUAGCGGUGAAAUGCGUAGAGAUGUGGAGGAACACCAGUGGCGAAGGCGACUCUUUGGUCUGUAACUGACGCUGAGGCGCGAAAGCGUGGGGAGCAAACAGG
rnacentral:rRNA from 1 species